rnacentral:sRNA from 1 species
UAUGGGAGAGGGAAAGAAGAAAUCACAUCCUGAAAAACAGGAAGUGGCUCCAGAGGGGCUGGAGCCUCACAAUCUUUUGGAAGGCAGUAAGAAACCUUGUCAGAGCUCUCCCUCUUAAAGGCCCACGCCCUCCCAUUGCCACACGCAGAGGCCACAUCCCUUCUCCACCCAGGCUUUGCUAUGCCUUGUCAGCAGUAGGAAACCAUCUGGUAAAGGAAAGUCAAUUUGCAGAGGCUCAGCUUUGCCCCAGAGGGAAGAUGGAUGAACGGGAGAUUUUUGUAAGAUACACCAAGAAAACAACUGAAGGAAGGAGAAUUUCUUUGGCUCACUGUUUCUGGCUACAGCCAUGACGGCCGAGAAGUCACAGGGACAGGGUCCUGGAGCUUGAAAACUCUGGUCACAUUCCACCCACAGUUAGGAGCAGAGAACAAGGAGUCAACGUCCAUGCGUGUGAGCUCUCCAGCCUUACACACCCAUAGCUCCCUGCCCAGGGCAAGGUGCAGCCUACAAUUCACAAGUCUUCCUACCACAAUUAACAUACUCAAGACAACACCCCACCGACAGUCUCAGCCGCUCUUCUGUCAAGUGAUUCCCGAUUGUGUCAAGUUGACGAAACCAACCAGCAUGUGCACCACGUGCCACCAGCUCUCGUGCAUUCGUUUUUGGCACCAGGUUUCAGGUGACCUCAGUCUCACUAUGUAGUUGGAGUACAGGAGGCUCUGAUGGUCCAGCCCCCACUUUCUGAAUGCUGGAAUCACAGGUAUGCGCCACCACCAUGCCCAGUGUCCCACAACACCAACGUAAGGUUUCAUAAGUUAGUGUUAUGCUUCCGGGCUAGGAUUAAGGUUUGAAAGGUGUGAUGGUUCGAAUAUGAAUGGCCCCCAGGGGCUCAUAUGUUUGAAUGCCUAGUCAUCAGGGGGUGGUCUUAUUGGAGUAGGUGUGGCCUUGUUGAAGGAAGUGUGUCACUGGGGCUUUGAAAUUUCAAAAACCCAAGCCCAGUCCAGUUGUUUUCUCUUCCUGUUGCCAGACGAUUGGGAUGUAGAGCUCUGUUUCUUCUCCAGCACCAUGUCUGGCUGCACACCACCAUGUUCCCACUACGAUGAUAAUGGACUAAACCUCUGUAAGUCAAGUGGUCCGUGCAUAAGAUGGGCAUAAGAACUGGCGAGGAGGAGCGUGCUCAAUCCCAGGAAUCUCAGAGGUCUGAGACAGCAGGAGUGGGGUGCUCCCUCUCUGCCUUAAUGCCUGCUCUGGAACUUAACCACUGCACCCAACUGAGGGGACUGUAGCACCCAGUCAUAUAGCACAGCACCUGGAAAGCCUCUCCAUGCAAACCAGGCAUCUCAAAACCUUAGCCUUCAGCCAAUGACCUUCCUCCCUUCCUGAACAUUCUCAUGUCCUUCCCCCAAGUUAUAUAAUCCUUGGUUCGCCCGAAUAAAGCAAAUUCGUCUAAGUCCAUCCCCAAUAAAACAAUAGGAACAAGCUAAAAGAGUCCCAAAGAGCUGCUUCAUUAGAGAUUGCCACUGGGGAAGGCCUUUGAUUAAAAGAGUGACACACUGAGACACCAGAAGAGAGCCUCUCUUUUCGGCACUCCCCACUCACUGCCAACCAGACCGGAAUCCUGCCAGUCCUGGAUUUCACUUUCCCUUUUCGACCUGGUGUGCAGCAGUGUCUGCUGUGAAUCCAGACACUGCCUGAGGAGAGGCAGAACACUGGAUCACAAACCUCUGAAAACUGUAAGCAAGCCCCAAUUAACUGCUCUCUCUAGUAAGAGUUACUUUGGUCAGUGUCUCUUCACAGCAAUAGAACAAUGUUGCCACUUGUUUCUUUCCUGCCUCAGCAUGGUACCCACGUUAAGUAAUGCAACUGAGAAGCUGGGGCUGGAAUUGACUCUCUGACAGAAACAAUACCAGAGGAAGAAGCCGGGAUUGUUUCCGUUGAGUCCAUGCUCACAGGACUUGCUUGGGCAGAGCGUCUUGGCAGUGGGAGCUCGGCAUGUCACCACCAUCUAGGAAAUAAAGAAGGGAACACUGGACCUCAGUUGGCUUUCUUCUUCCUUCCCUUUUAUUCAGUCUGGGGUCUCUGGUGGAUGGGAUGGUGCCAGUCACUUGCAGGGUGGAUCUUCCCGCAUCAGUGAGUGCUCUCUGAAAAUUCUCUUACAGACACACCUAUCGAUGCGCUCAGUGGUCUCCCAGGUAAUUCUAAAUCCAGCCAUGUUGACAGAGAAGAUUAACCACCACAGUGGGUUCAGAGAAGCUGUGUCAAAUUGCUUGGUGACCUUAACGACUCAGUUGCCCUUUCUUUGUUUCUGUUGUCUGGAUGAGAAAUGCCCACCCUAGGCUUGUAUUUGAGUACUUGGUCCCCAGGAGGUAGUGGUAUUUGGGAACUUGAAACCUUCAGAAGGAAGUGGGUCCUAGAAGAAAGUGGGUCAUAGAAGGAAGUGGGUCACCAGGGGUGGGCUUUGGGGAUUUAUAGCCCAGUCCCACUCCCUGUUCUCUCCUUCCUGCUCCCGUUGCCUCUCUUUCUCUACCACAAUUGACUAUGUCUCUUAGAACUGUGAGCCAAAAUAAACCAUUUCCCCCAUCCA